rnacentral:rRNA from 1 species
CGUAGGUGGCAAGCGUUGUCCGGAUUUAUUGGGUUUAAAGGGUGCGUAGGCGGCCUAUUAAGUCAGUGGUGAAAUAUUUCAGCUUAACUGGAAUUGUGCCAUUGAUACUGAUGGGCUUGAGUACAGAUGAGGUAGGCGGAAUUGACGGUGUAGCGGUGAAAUGCUUAGAUAUCGUCAAGAACACCUAUAGCGAAGGCAGCUUACUAGGCUGUAACUGACGCUGAGGCACGAAAGUGUGGGGAUCAAACAGGAUUAGAUACCCUGGUAGUCCACACUGUAAACGUUGAUUACUCGCUGUGUGCGAUAUACAGUACGCGGCCAAGCGAAAGCGCUAAGUAAUCCACCUGGGGAGUACGCCGGCAACGGUG